UUCUUCUCCUUUCGUGAUUUCAUUUCGUUUUCCUCUUUUCCCUAAAACCACCACCAUCUCCUACCGCCGCACCACCAUCAAACCACUACCACUUCCAAAUCCGAUACCAGCACCUCAUCCUCUUCCUCCUCCUUCAUAUCCACCACCACCAACAAUGCAUCUGCUGCCACCAACCGGUUACGAUGUUCAGAUCUGACAUCAACACCAUCUCCUCCAUCGCCUCCUCCUCCACCUUCACCACCAGUAACAUCACAUUCUCGAUUAAUAUGCUAACAAAUCUCUUAAAUUCAAGAGUAAGCCCUAAUGAUUCAAGUUAUUACAAUCUUAAUUAACCAAAUCCAUUACAUUUCGGUCAUUGUUAAGUUUUAUCAAAGAUAGUUUUUGAGGACGAGUGAUGAGUUGUUUUCGUGGAAAUAACUCGGAUCUGUAAAACCAAAUGGGAAAGUUGCAGUGGAUUUAACAAGAGGUGCUGGUAUUUUGUGCUGGUAUCUAUGAAUUUGGGAAAUCUCAAUUGAAAAAAUUCUGAAACGUAUAUCAAAUCGUAGAGAUACACGAACGGAAGCAUGUAGAGGAGUUCAAACAAGGAAAUCAUGCAGGGUGGGAGAGAUUUGGUUGUUUCGUGUUGGUGGAAAGGUUUGUCCUGAAAACAUUGAGUGGUGCUGAAGUAUUUACUUGUGAUUAUAAACAUAUUCAUCAGCUUCAGUGCAAAUGGGAAUGAAAUAACUUCAUCUCUGCAAGAACCUAUAUUGUUAAUCUGUCACAAACUAGUUGCAUAAAUAAAUAAAUAAAGCAUUAAUAAUUAUUAUGUUC